rnacentral:rRNA from 1 species
UACGGGGGGGGCAAGCGUUGUUCGGAAUUACUGGGCGUAAAGGGCUCGUAGGCGGCCAACUAAGUCAGACGUGAAAUCCCUCGGCUUAACCGGGGAACUGCGUCUGAUACUGGAUGGCUUGAGUUUGGGAGAGGGAUGCGGAAUUCCAGGUGUAGCGGUGAAAUGCGUAGAUAUCUGGAGGAACACCGGUGGCGAAGGCGGCAUCCUGGACCAACACUGACGCUGAGUGAGCGAAAGCCAGGGGAGCAAACGAG